GGAUGAACGCUAGCUACAGGCUUAACACAUGCAAGUCGAGGGGCAGCAUGGUCUUAGCUUGCUAAGGCUGAUGGCGACCGGCGCACGGGUGAGUAACACGUAUCCAACCUGCCGUCUACUCUUGGACAGCCUUCUGAAAGGAAGAUUAAUACAAGAUGGCAUCAUGAGUCCGCAUGUUCACAUGAUUAAAGGUAUUCCGGUAGACGAUGGGGAUGCGUUCCAUUAGAUAGUAGGCGGGGUAACGGCCCACCUAGUCUUCGAUGGAUAGGGGUUCUGAGAGGAAGGUCCCCCACAUUGGAACUGAGACACGGUCCAAACUCCUACGGGAGGCAGCAGUGAGGAAUAUUGGUCAAUGGGCGAGAGCCUGAACCAGCCAAGUAGCGUGAAGGAUGACUGCCCUAUGGGUUGUAAACUUCUUUUAUAAAGGAAUAAAGUCGGGUAUGGAUACCCGUUUGCAUGUACUUUAUGAAUAAGGAUCGGCUAACUCCGUGCCAGCAGCCGCGGUAAU
rnacentral:rRNA from 1 species